rnacentral:rRNA from 1 species
AGUGAACGCUGGCGGUAGGCCUAACACAUGCAAGUCGAACGGCAGCACAGUAAGAGCUUGCUCUUACGGGUGGCGAGUGGCGGACGGGUGAGGAAUACAUCGGAAUCUACUUUUUCGUGGGGGAUAACGUAGGGAAACUUACGCUAAUACCGCAUACGACCUACGGGUGAAAACAGGGGAUCUUCGGACCUUGCGCGAUUGAAUGAGCCGAUGUCGGAUUAGCUAGUUGGCGGGGUAAAGGCCCACCAAGGCGACGAUCCGUAGCUGGUCUGAGAGGAUGAUCAGCCACACUGGAACUGAGACACGGUCCAGACUCCUACGGGAGGCAGCAGUGGGGAAUAUUGGACAAUGGGCGCAAGCCUGAUCCAGCCAUACCGCGUGGGUGAAGAAGGCCUUCGGGUUGUAAAGCCCUUUUGUUGGGAAGGAAAAGCAGCAGGUUAAUACCCCGCUGUUCUGACGGUACCCAAAGAAUAAGCACCGGCUAACUUCGUG